GCAUCCUACGGGAGGCAGCAGUCGGGAAUAUUGCGCAAUGGAGGAAACUCUGACGCAGUGACGCCGCGUAUAGGAAGAAGGUUUUCGGAUUGUAAACUAUUGUCGUGAGGGAAGAAAUUGACAGUACCUCAGGAGGAAGCUCCGGCUAACUAUGUGCCAGCAGCCGCAGUAAUACGUAGGGAGCGAGCGUUGUCCGGAAUUACUGGGUGUAAAGGGAGCGUAGGCGGGAUUGCAACUUGGAUGUGAAAACUGCGGGCUCAACCCGGAGCGUGCAUUCAAAACUGCGAUUCUUGAGUGAAGUAGAG
rnacentral:rRNA from 1 species